GGGGAAUAUUGCACAAUGGGCGAAAGCCUGAUGCAGCAACGCCGCGUGAGUGAUGAAGGUUUUCGGAUCGUAAAGCUCUGUUGCCAGGGAAGAACGUCGGGUAGAGUAACUGCUAUCCGAGUGACGGUACCUGAGAAGAAAGCCCCGGCUAACUACGUGCCAGCAGCCGCGGUAAUACGUAGGGGGCAAGCGUUGUCCGGAAUUAUUGGGCGUAAAGCGCGCGCAGGCGGUCACUUAAGUCUGGUGUUUAAGGCUAGGGCUCAACUCUAGUUCGCACUGGAAACUGGGUGACUUGAGUGCAGAAGAGGAAAGUGGAAUUCCACGUGUAGCGGUGAAAUGCGUAGAGAUGUGGAGGAACACCAGUGGCGAAGGCGACUUUCUGGGCUGUAACUGACGCUGAGGCGCGAAAGCGUGGGGAGCAAAC
rnacentral:rRNA from 1 species